rnacentral:pre_miRNA from 1 species
AGUGGAAUAAUUGGGUCAAAUGGUGGUUCCAUUCCUAGUUUUUGAGGAGCACCCAUACUCCUUUCCAGAGUGGUUCCACUAAUUUGCAGUCCCACCAAUAAU